rnacentral:rRNA from 1 species
UACGUAGGGGGGCUAGCGUUGUCCGGAAUCAUUGGGCGUAAAGAGCGUGUAGGCGGCCCGGUAAGUCCGCUGUGAAAGUCGGGGGGCUCAACCCUCGAAUGCCGGUGGAUACUGUCGGGCUAGAGUGCGGCAGGGGGAGACUGGAAUUCCUGGUGUAGCAGUGAAAUGCGCAGAUAUCAGGAGGAACACCGGUGGCGAAGGCGGAUCUCUGGGCCAUUACUGACGUGAGGAGCGAAAGCGUGGGGAGCGAACAGG